rnacentral:rRNA from 1 species
GAUGAACGCUGGCGGCGUGCUUAACACAUGCAAGUCGAACGAUGAAGCCCAGCUUGCUGGGUGGAUUAGUGGCGAACGGGUGAGUAACACGUGAGUAACCUGCCCUUAACUCUGGGAUAAGCCUGGGAAACUGGGUCUAAUACCGGAUAGGAGCGUCCACCGCAUGGUGGGUGUUGGAAAGAUUUAUCGGUUUUGGAUGGACUCGCGGCCUAUCAGCUUGUUGGUGAGGUAAUGGCUCACCAAGGCGACGACGGGUAGCCGGCCUGAGAGGGUGACCGGCCACACUGGGACUGAGACACGGCCCAGACUCCUACGGGAGGCAGCAGUGGGGAAUAUUGCACAAUGGGCGCAAGCCUGAUGCAGCGACGCCGCGUGAGGGAUGACGGCCUUCGGGUUGUAAACCUCUUUCAGUAGGGAAGAAGCGAAAGUGACGGUACCUGCAGAAGAAGCACCGGCUAACUACGUGCCAGCAGCCGCGGUAAUACGUAGGGUGCGAGCGUUAUCCGGAAUUAUUGGGCGUAAAGAGCUCGUAGGCGGUUUGUCGCGUCUGUCGUGAAAGUCCGGGGCUUAACCCCGGAUCUGCGGUGGGUACGGGCAGACUAGAGUGCAGUAGGGGAGACUGGAAUUCCUGGUGUAGCGGUGGAAUACGCAGAUAUCAGGAGGAACACCGAUGGCGAAGGCAGGUCUCUGGGCUGUAACUGACGCUGAGGAGCGAAAGCAUGGGGAGCGAACAGG